rnacentral:rRNA from 1 species
UACGAAUCGUGCGAACGUUGUUCGGAAUCACUGGGCUUAAAGGGCGCGUAGGCGGGCGGCCGAGUCCGGGGUGAAAUCCCACAGCUCAACCGUGGAAUUGCCUUGGAUACUGGUCGCCUCGAGGGAGGUAGGGGCGUGCGGAACGUUUGGUGGAGCGGUGAAAUGUGUUGAUAUCAAACGGAACUCCGGUGGCGAAGGCGGCACGCUGGGCCUCUUCUGACGCUGAGGCGCGAAAGCCAGGGUAGCGAACGGG